rnacentral:rRNA from 1 species
CCUACGGGAGGCAGCAGUGAGGAAUAUUGGUCAAUGGUCGUAAGGCUGAACCAGCCAAGUCGCGUGCAGGAUGACGGCCCUAUGCGUUGUAAACUUCUUUUAUCCAGGGACAAAAUCAGUCACGUGUGCCUUAUUGUGGGUACCGCAUGAAUAAGGACCGGCUAAUUCCGUGCCAGCAGCCGCGGUAAUACGGAAGGUCCGGGCGUUAUCCGGAUUUAUUGGGUUUAAAGGGUGCGUAGGCCGGCUGUUAAGCGUGCGGUUAAAUGCCGGGGCUCAACCCUGGCCGAGCGGUGGGAACUGGCUGGCUUGAGAGGGCGGAAGGUAUGCGGAAUGCGUGGUGUAGCGGUGAAAUGCUUAGAUAUUGCGAAGAACUCCGAUUGCGAAGGCAGCAUACGGGAGGG